rnacentral:sRNA from 1 species
UCAUUUCAUUCAAAGGAGCCCGAGAUAU